rnacentral:tRNA from 1 species
UGGGGCUAUAGCCAAGCGGUAAGGCAACGGAUUUUGAUUCCGUCAUGCGAAGGUUCGAUCCCUUCUAGCCCAGCCA